rnacentral:rRNA from 1 species
ACUUUAAGUUGGGAGGAAGGGCAGUAAGUUAAUACCUUGCUGUUUUGACGUUACCAACAGAAUAGGCACCGGCUAACUUCGUGCCAGCAGCCGCGGUAAUACGAAGGGUGCAAGCGUUAAUCGGAAUUACUGGGCGUAAAGCGCGCGUAGGUGGUUUGGUAAGAUGGAUGUGAAAUCCCCGGGCUCAACCUGGGAACUGCAUCCAUAACUGCCUGACUAGAGUACGGUAGAGGGUGGUGGAAUUUCCUGUGU